rnacentral:lncRNA from 1 species
UAUGCGCAAACCAGGGAACGUUGCACAUGGGGUUUACACACCACAAUCAACAGCUUCAAAUGGUGCUGGUGCUUUAUCUGGCCCUCCAGGACCACCAUUUUUUAUGAUGUACUCGUAUGAACCUGGCGCAAAUCAUGGUCCAUCCACAUCUGAACCAAUUGAAUUUGGUUCUCUUGGGCCACUUCCUGCAGAAAAUGGUGAUGACAUACCACGGUCCACGCGCCAAGUAAUGCCUAAUGGGUUUUAUGGGCAAAGGCGUGGUCCAUAUAGGGGUGGUUCCUCUCAUUCCUCUCCUGAUCAACCGUCUUCACCUCAGCCUCGCAGGUAAUACUAUAAUCUUUGUUGAUCACUGUUUCUAUUUUUAAUGUUUAAGUAUGAGCAGUCUGAAAAAUCCAAAUCAUAACUGUAUAAGGAAAAAUCCAAAUCAUAACUGUAUAAGGAACUUUAUUUUAUCUGUGAAGAAACUUGUGAUUUCGAUAUAUAAGCAGAGUAAAUGCACGGUAAGCAGUUGCCACUAGUAAGUUACUUACCUAUAACUAACAUUAAGUAAUUGACAGACAAUGAGGCACCGCUGGAAGGUCAAAUUCGUUAUGUUCUCAUGAGUUGAGAAAUCCGGCACACGAAAUGAAAGUGCUGCUAUGUGCAGAUUUGAUAGGGUAAGCAGGAAUUGAAGAGAUAGUCUGCUUCGUAUUUCAUGUUGUUGAGAGAAAAGAUGCAAGCCACGGAAAUAAUGUUCUAAAUUAUUUAAUUUAAUUUUCAUUCCUCAGUGGAUCUUCCAGAGUUAAAAUAUUGAGAGUAGAUCAUUCUGGCAUGGGUACUUCGUCACAUUAUUGUGAUGGUGAUAAUGACCAGUAACCUCAAGUCCUCAACUUCAUGCAUUAUGCAUGUGUGCUCAUUUUCUGUCACAUGUGGGCUAUGGCCUUCAUGAAAGUCCAAAGUAUUUACAAAGUGCAAGUGUGUUCAACUGAUGCCCAUAGCAGUUGGUAGUAAUUAGUAAAGUGGCUCCUGAUAUCUGGUCUCAAAGGUAGAAAUUAGUGUAUAAGCACAUUAAACUAGCACCACAUCCGGGAGACCGGGGAUAUGCUUGCAAUGGGUAAUUGUGCCACCAGCUUUUCAAUUUGCUUCCAUGAAUUGAUCUAUGUAUUUUCUUCUAAGUAUAUUCAGCAACAUUUGUUGUCACCAAGCUGAAAUUUAUGUUUCUGUUAACUUUCAAGGUAGUUGAAUGAUGGCAUGGUCACUUGGUUCUGGCAUUGAAGCCCUGAGAUAGCAAUAUUUUGCUCUGACACUCGUGACCAUGUCCUGCAUGAGUUCAGACGGUUGAGGCCAUCAGCAGCCAACAACAAAAGCAUGUGCCCUAGCUGGUUUUUAUGGUGCUGUCUGAUAUUUCACAAGCACUAAAUAGUGAAUACCAUCAAAAGUAUGGUGCUUUCUGAUAUCUCACAAGCAUUGGAAUAGCGGAUAGCAUGAAAAGAGACAUCAUCAUCGGCAGAUUAUUUUACCGGUCGCUUAUGAACUUUCCUGGAACCGAAGCAAUGAUCUUCAGAACAAAUCGUGGAACUGUCAAGCCCAGAAAUCCAGAAUAUAUAUCUUCAUGCAGAAAUCAGAAUUGAACUAAGAUUAUGAGCAAGGAUGAAUUGAGUUCUGACCUUCUCAAGGAUAUGUUAUUAGGUUGAAUGGAACCGGAACAAGCAUUUCUUCGUCAAAAUCAAAUACAAUCUUGAAAAAGCAUUGGGUUUUACUACAAUUAUCGGGGCAUUAUAUGGCCAUGUGUAACUGAAAGCUAAUAAAGAGUUCUCGUUUCUAGGUAGGAUCAAGAUCAUGUGACACAUACAGCAAACUCUCCACUUAAGUGUGCUAGGAGUUAGGUGAAUCCUAGAUUACCAAUUCUCGUGGUGUUUCUAGCUGGAGGGACAUGGACUCCAGGAUACUCUCACGCACGAGUAAAAAAAGUGAUCGUCUUUAUCGUCCUCUGUUCCAUAUGUGCGGUGCGUUCAAUGUAUUGGGAUUCCCGCAUAUUUCCCUGCCUGGGCAUUCUGAUGGUGUGCUGUAUCGGGUAUACAGAGAUGUUGGCGGAUCCGUUUUGACUCUUGAGAACUUGAGUCGACAUACAGUCCUGUAACAGUAAAACCUUGCAACAUUGCUUCAGUAACGCACUUCCAGUUCUUCAAGGACCAGUGCAAUUUCAAGAAAUCGCGAUGCUAUGUCAAUGGCAACUUGCUGCUACAGCUACAGAUGCGUUUUACGUAUAGCGCAUACAUCUUAAGUUCUGAGCUCGCGUGAUGGUGGUGUACAUUCUCCUGAUGCUGCUUAAUGGCCUCUGAAAAAAUAUUUUCUUGGUGUACAUCCUGCCAUGGUAAUCAGGGUACCAUGAUGGGCUCCUGAAGCAAACGGGUUUACUUGUGCUUGGUGUUCCGGGACUUCUCGUUCAGGUCCUGCGUGGAGUUCUUGAACCUGUUAUCGAACUCGGCGUACUUCUGGUUCUCGGCUUGAGAGCGCAACAGCAAGAAAGAAAGGGUUUUCCAUCAGUCAAGAGGGACAGCGAGAGAGCUUUGCAGCAAGGACAAGUUCAUCGUGAACUUAUAUAACCACAACACCGAAUUCACCGCGUAAGGCUCUGAGAAGUCUGACUCUACUCAUCAUGUGGGAGAUUUGGAAAAGAAGUCUGACUCUACUCAUCAUGUGGGAGAUUUGGAAAGAACGGAAUGAGCGCAUCUUCAAUGGACAUGAGAGCUCAACAACGACGUUGCUGGCGAAAAUCAAGGAGAAGGCGUCAGCUUGGCUACUGGCGGGGCAAAAGAUCUAACAUUACUUCUAGCGCGAGAGUAGCACGGCUAGUCACUCGGCUGGUCAUUUUUUUCUUUACCUUUGUUUCUUUCCUGCAAACUCCUGCUCUAUUAAUGAAAUAGGCACAAUCUCGUGCUCAUUCGUUAAAAAAAAUAAUUACAUCGUGGCGACUCAGAAAAUGAACCAAAUAGGCUAGGUAUAUGUAAUUACGUAGUUACUUAAUUAUAUUUCGCCAAAUAAUCUUAAACUAGCAUAUCUCAUUUAAACUAUCCUUUUUCUAUUGUCGACUUCUAAAUAAAAAAAACUGUAACAUUCAUUUAAAGUGACUUUUUACAUGCUUGCUACCUUGGAACGGGUAAGAUGAAAAAUGGUAACUCCCUGCCACUAUCAUAUUAUACUAAGGUGAACGUGUUAUUUAUGUAUAUGAACCAUAAGCAACAACAUGUGAAAAUGAUAGGUGUGGCUUAAUACCAUAUUAAAGUAGCAGCGUGUUUGAAAUGCUGGGUGGCAAGGUGGGCUGCUAAAGACGGGAUGGCGAUGCAUUUAGUCUGACCGAAACUAAUUCAAUAGACAUGACACCACAUUGUAGUGAUCCAUUAGUGAUAUGGCUACGUUGCACUCCUAAUAGCAUCUACAAGACUGCAAGAUGGAAAGUUGAUGAGAAAAGAUGAAGAGAAUCAGGAUUAUCAGGUUUGAUCCGAAUAAUCUCUACCUAAUAUUUAAAGCAUCGCGUAUUUCUUCCAACCGUCAUGAUCAUUUUGCAAAAAAGUCCAUCAUCUUUUUCUUAAUCAACCCGCAGUCCUGGGAGUUAAAACCGUCGUAGUUCUUGACGAUUUGCAAAAAAAAAAGUCCCUUUCUUCAUCACCCGCCAUGCGUUUCUGGGGCCAGCGCCCAGCGAUGUGUCCACAGCACGGGACCCCUCCUCCAUCCCCACAAAUCAAUCUAACCACCUCCGCAUGCAUGCUGUGUGCUGCCAUGGCCCAUGGGAGGUCGCGCUGGGAGAGAAGAGAGGUUGAAUUCUAGCUGGCGGAGUAUUUCGAUUCGUAUUCUCUGUUGGACCCAACAAGAACUUCUUUGAUUUGGUAUUUUUAUGAUCUAUUAUAAAUAGCAAAGAAUAGAUAAGGUGAGAUGUGAUACAUGUUCACAAAAGAGGGUCAUGUCUUUUAAAAAUAGGGUCCAUUAAAUUAUAAUGUUUCAAAUUGUAACCAUGUUCUCUAAAUUAUGAUCUAAUCUAGAUGACCUAGUAAAUAAUUAGAAAUUAAGAUUUAGAUGCGUGAUUAUAAGUUAGGAGUAGGUCCUCGCAAAAAGGUACUAAAAAGGUAUUGUACACUUAAAUUCAAUUGGCCGCAAAUUUCUUAAAAAUCAAAAAUCCACAUUCCACCACCAUUGAGCCAAGGCACUGCUCAUGUGGUCACGUCUCAUUGACGUAUUAGAGAUGUCGAGUCUGUUUGGUUGCUAUACUAUGGUUGUCAGUGUUUGCAACAUUUUCUCGCUAAAUCGAGUAAGAUUAGUUCAUCAAAUUGUUUGCUAAACUUUAACUGCUUUUCUUAGUCACUGACAAGUGGAAUCAAGUGGUACAACCAAACAACUAUUAAAACUUAAUCAAAUUUGGCUAACCUUAUGAUGCGGUAAAGUGUGACUUAAUCAAAUUUGCCUAAACUUAUGCUAGGGUAAAGUGUGUCAGGUUUUGACUUCAAACCAAACAGAUCCGUCGUAGAGGUCGGGUCGGCCGGCCGGCCUCUUCCCGGCACAUUCCCACGGCCCAAACCAAACACCGACCCGCACGUCUCCUCCUCCUCCCCUUUCCGGCUCUCCCCAGCUCAAUCAACCCUUCCGGCCUUCCCCUCCCCUCCUCCACGCCGACCACUCCCCUCCUCAUCGCCGCCGAUCACUCUCCCCACAACCGCAUCGAUCCAAAGCUCGCUCUAGGUUAUCCGCCCGUCCGCUUCCCGGGGCUCCACCGGCCCGGCUCGAUUCGCGCCGGGGGUGGCUGCUCCGUGCUCUGAGCCACCCGUCGCCGCUGUAGCCCGCUGCUGCGGGGAGUGCUCCUCUGUUGGCUGCCGCUGGUGUAGGGGUCCAGGGUUUUGUCUCCGCCAGGCGGAGGGCGCAUGGGGAUGGUGCCCAACGGGCUCCUGCCGAAUGCGUCCACCGGGGUGACCCGGCGGCUCGACCCCGAGCGCUGGGCGGUCGCGGAGGGCCGCACUGCUGAGCUGAUCGCGCGCAUCCAGCCCAACGCACACUCCGAGGGUCGGAGACUGGCCGUGUACCACUACGUGCAGCGGCUCAUAAUGAACUGCCUCUCGUGCCAGGUACAGUAACUGCUUACCAAGUGACCCGAUUGCUACGGCAGGUAGUAAUAGGGAUUAGCUUUUGUCUGAAGGAGAACGCUCUUGUAUAUGGCUGUGAGGACUGCGCUGUGGGGAUGGAUAUAUGAAACUGCUGCUGAAGAACCGACUAGAGUAACGAUUGCUUAACAAAGAGGGUGCUAGACCAUAACCGAUGCUUUACUUUCUGUUUUUCAAAUGUUUGCCUGACAAACAGAAACUGAUUCUGGAGAGAGAGCUCACUUGAGAUGGUGACUCAUGGUUACAGAAGAACAGGAGGGACUCUGAUCACCUAACACCCAUACUUCCGGUUCUGAUAUUUGACGAUCUGUUUAGAUGUAUUAGGUUUUCAUACAAUGGGAUGACUGGCAAAAAUUAAGCUGCGCAUUGGGGGAAGAGUAUGAAUGGAGAUCCUGGACAGUGUGUAAUCAAACUGUAUUUUCCUCUUUUUUUAUUGCAUUCCUAUGACACAGGGUGUUGCACACAUCCAGUACCCUGUUACUGAAGUUUUGUGGAACCACAGAACUAACCUCUGCCAAUAAUACGAUAUGAAGAACUUGCAUGUUUUAGCCAGAAGAGUUCUAGUAAUUUCUUUUUGAUAGUCAUAAAUCAGUAGCCAUAUGUGGAUGUCUGAAAAUUUUGGCUUGUCUGAUGGCAUGAGCAUUUGCUAUACAGCCUAGCUGGUGCAUCGAGAUACCACUUUUAUCUUAUUGCAUUCAUGUUUCUUGGAUGAUUGAAAAAGACAUUUCCAUAAGCCUUAUGCAUGUCAAGGGGAAUUUUACACUAGCAUUUCGGAAAUUCCUUGCUCUUGUCUUCAGUACUGAAUUAUCUUGUUGAUUAAAUGUGCUUCACAGAGAAUGAUCUCUUUGUAUCUACAGGUUUUUACCUUCGGGUCAGUCCCUCUCAAGACCUACUUACCUGAUGGUGACAUUGAUGUCACUGCUUUUAGUAAUAGUGAUGAAUUAAAGGAGAUUUGGGCAAAUCUUGUCCGGGAUGCGUUGGAGCGUGAAGAGAAGAGUGAAAAUUCUGAAUUUCAUGUAAAAGAAGUCCAGUAUAUUCAGGCAGAGGUAAUUUUCCCUGUUAUAAUUUCAGAGUGAUUUUUUUUCCUUUUGCUGUUGUAUAGGCAUCGGAAUUACCUCCAUACGAAAUUGGUCGUCUGCUAAUUGCUGUUGUAGAUAUUUGUGCAUUUUUCUACAAACUUGGUCAAAGCUACAGAAGUUUGACUUAGGAUAAAGCUAGAAUGACUUAUAAUUUGUAACAGAGGGAGUACGUACAUAUAGUAGAGUUUCAUUAGCAUUGUACCUUCAUUUAUGACAUUACGAUUGUGUGAAGUUAUUACCAGAAGUUGCCUAUUGUACUUUGUGCUAUAUGAAUUGAGGCAGAACAGAAACGAAUACACGAUCUUAAGUUAAACUUCAGUUUAGUAAUAUGGCCAUUGCUCUGUCACUCAGUUCUAUGCACCAUAUGGUGUGGCCAAAUAGCUAAAGUCUAAUCUAUUAGUAUCAUUUAGGAGGAUUAUGCAUCUGAAGACACUUCUAGCAUCCUUCUAAGUACACAAAUAUGUAUCCAGUGUCAUUUUAUCGCUGAUCGCUCUCCUCUUGUAUCUUCUUUUGGGAAUAUGUCACCGUUAAUGAUUUGGCACUUUUAUUUUAUUCUCCACUCAUUUGUAUCCUCGUAUGUUUUAUGUAUCAUGCAUAGGUCAAGAUUAUUAAGUGUCUUGUGGAAAACAUUGCUGUCGACAUCUCAUUUAAUCAAGUUGGUGGACUAUGUACACUUUGUUUUCUUGAAGAGGUAUGUUCUUAUUUUCGAAAUCUAGCUUAAUUUGUAUAUCCAGGCAAGGUGCUUGAAAGUUUACCAUUUAUAUCUUGUGCGGUAAGGAAUUUAUAUUAACUUGAUAGCUGUGCUUAUUGCAUAUAGCACCUGGUUCAGAUGUGCUUGGUUUUUCUGCUCAUACCUCCUAAUGAUUCUGCGUUCUAAUAGGUCGACAACUUGAUCAGUCGAAAUCAUUUAUUCAAGCGGAGUAUCAUAUUGAUAAAAGCAUGGUGUUACUAUGAGAGUCGUAUUCUUGGAGCUCACCAUGGUCUUAUAUCUACUUAUGCAUUGGAGACGCUGGUUCUGUACAUAUUUCAUAUAUUCAACAACUCUUUUACUGGACCUCUUGAGGUGACUUACUCUCUUGUCUUUGAUUUUUCUAUUUGUGCAUGUGAAGGUGACUUACUCUGUUGUCUUUUGAUUUUUCUAUUUGUGCAUGUGAAGGUGACUUACUCUCUUGUCUUUGAUUUUUCUAUUUGUUCAUGUGCAGGUUAUGUACCGUUUCUUGGAAUUUUUCAGCAACUUUGAUUGGGAGAAAUUUUGUUUGAGCUUGCGGGGCCCAGUUCCUAUAAGUUCACUUCCAGAUAUGACUGGUAAUCUAUACGUAUAACUUUAUUUUGAUAAAUCAAUGAUUGAUUAAAAAUAGUCUUUUUGAUCAUUAAUGUUUUGUCAUGCAGCGGAACCUCCGCUGAUGGACAGUGGUGAAUUGUUGCUGGACAAGUCCUUCCUGGAUAACUGUAGCACUGCAUAUGGAGUUGUGCCUCGCACGCAGGAGAAUCAGGGUCGACCAUUUGUUUCCAAACACUUCAAUGUUAUUGAUCCUUUACGUGCAAACAAUAAUCUCGGAAGAAGUGUCAGCAAAGGUAACUAUGGACCUACUUUAAGAUCAUCUUACAGGUGAACUGAACAGAGUAAAUAUUCUUUGGCUUCACCUAUUUCCAUGCUAUUGAUGGUAUGUUGUGUUCCAUGCAAUUAUUUCAUUCACUGUUGGUAAUUGGUUGCUAGUUUGUCUCCUUGUAGAAUGUCGGCAUUCUACUGAUAUACGCAUAUAAAGUGACCAACAAAUCUGACCACUAACAAUAAGAACUUCAUUCUUUGCGACCUGUAAUAGGACCUUCUGGAGCAAGUGUUGGGAUAGACAUACCUGCCAUACUUCUAUUCAUUCUUACAAUGUUGAGUAUAUGGUAAUUAAGAGCAGCAAUCGAUUUUACUUUGAUUGUCUGGCACUUAAAUAUCAUAAAAUUUUCCUUGGUGUGUAAUAUUUUAUCUUAUUGGCCAUUGGAUGCUAAUGGUAGAUUCAGUCUCUUAAGAAGAUUCAAGUGUUUGAUACAAUAAUUCUUCCUCCUUGUGCUGUAUACUCUGGAAAGUACCCUUGUCAAUAUUUUAUCUUUUUGGCAAUUCGAUGCGAAUUAUAGGUUCAAUCUCUUAAGAAGGUUCAAGAAUAUGGAUUGGAUGACUACCACAGUUUUGGUUGUUCUCUGAAAAGUUUGAUCUCUACAAGAGCAACAAAAAUACAUCACCUGUUGAGUUGACCUCUUUUUAUUUUGCAGGCAAUUUCUUUAGAAUACGCAGUGCUUUUGCAUAUGGAGCGAAAAGGCUUGGAAAGUUACUUGAAUGUCCAAAACAAGAUUUAAUUACUGAAUUGAAUCAGUUCUUCACAAAUACAUGGAUAAGACAUGGGAGUGGAAGUCGUCCUGAUGUGCAGCCUCAGAAAGUUGUACCUUCUGUAGCGUCAAACAGUCACAGCAACGACAUCACUAAGUCUUCACAGGAUGAACCAGUGUCUUCCUUGAGCAGUUCAUCUCACCCUAGUGCAAAGGCAGUUUCUGACUCAAAUAGUGUUUCGAGCAGCUAUCGUGAAGAUAAUGGUUGUGUGAUGAACGGAGAACGUCCUUCUGUCUCUGAAUCAUCAGAUAUGCGCCAUGAUGAACAAUUUCUGGUUAAUUUAAUGGAUUCCGUGAAGUUGCAUGGAUCCAAUGGACAGAUUCAAUUGCCAAUGCAAUUACCUUCUCAUCUGUCUGUAGCACAUUCCCCUUUAUUGGCUCCAACAACUUUUUUACAAAAGCACUUGGCUGGGGUUCAACCACCUAACUUAACUGGGGCACCAUGGUUGCCCAAUAUGCAGUUCCUCCAUGGAUUGGUGACACCAACAGCCCAAUACAUACACAAUCCAACUUUGGCACCAAGUGUUGAAGAUGGCAGUGAGAGUGAGAAGCCUACUACAUCGGAUGCAAACCAUGAUACUGACAAAAGUUGGCAUCAGUAUGGUAUUGGAUAUUCUAAACAAUUUGAUCCUGAAGCGAGAGAUCCUCACAUCUAUGAUAUUGAUGGGAAGGAACGUCCUUCUUUUCCUAAUGGUGUACACGGUGCCCCAUUGGAAAGGCAGAUGGAAUUCACUCUUGAGAAUAAUGGUGCAGAUGAUGAAACCUAUAACAGCAUGUUCCAGAAUCAAACAAGUAGAGAAGGCAAUGUAGAUUACUCUAAGAGGAGUGGUUUUGUGAACGUUCUGUCUUCGCAUGGCAGUUCAUCCAGAGGCAAAGCUCUGGAUGCUAGUUCAUGGGAUGAAGUUUCUGUAAAUACAACAAGGUCAUCAAGAAACAAAUGGGGAAAAGAACCUGGCUUUGCGGCACCGGCCACAUCCACACAUAGCAAGACUGGUGGGCAGAUGGGAAAUGCCAAUGAUCAUCUCCCAACUGAAGUUGACAAUGGCCCUAGAAAUGGGACAGUGGUACCAAUCAUUAAUGAAGCUUCUGAGAUAGUAGCAGGGUCCGAUUCUUUUUCAACACAAACAAGAACUAGUGCACCUUUUCUUUUUGGUUCACCACAGCAGAGGCAAGCUGAUAAAUCUGGACUGACUUUUGUUCCAACAGGCACACCAGUUCCUUUUGUUGUCCUCCCAUUUAUUCCAGGGAAUAGCGAUGGUUCUGGUCCCCAGUUUGAGAGAAAUGAAGGAAUUGAUCAGCUUUCUGCCAAAAUUGCGUGUCAAAAUUUCUGUUCGCUUAGUGAUGUUCACCAACCAGAUUCUGGUGCUACCUCAACAGCAUCAAUCAGUACUAUGACUGAGCCAUCUGGGGAACACAAGCCUGACAUCUUGAAAGGUGAUCUCGUUAACCAUUGGUACAAUCUACAGUAUGCCCGACUCUGCCAGAAUGCUCGUUCCCUGGGUCCUGUUCUAUACCCUUUUCCGGUACCACCAAUGUAUUUGCAGGGCCAUGCGCCAUGGGAUGGGCCUGGAGGACCAGGUGCACCAAAUGUUAACUGGACACAAAUGAUUGGUCCUGGUCAACGAGUAUUUCCUGUGAUGCCUCUGCAACCUGCUGCGGAAAGAGGUACUGGCGUUUUCCAGCACUAUGGAGAAGAUGCACCCAGAUACCGUGGAGGCACAGGAACGUACAUGCCAAAUCCUGUAAGAACCUAAAAUACCUUUCAGCAUUUUAUCUCGUGCAUAGACAACUUGUUAGUAAUACUAUAUUUAAAAAAAACGAAAACUGAACAAGGUUGAUCCAUUUAUUGAGCAUUACACUUUUGAUACAUGGUUUAACUGAUACCAAUACUGUCGCCCAUUUAGGUAAUGUAAUUGCUCAUGUGAUGGUCGUAUGUCGUAACUACCCAUUAGUUCUGUUAGAUUCUGCUAGGCCAGUUUGGUAAAUUUUUAACUGGCUAAUAAGGUUUAUGAGUCUACCUGGUCAGAUUCGUGGGAAAGAUUCCCUUUAUGUCAUCAUGAAUAUCAUAGAGCUGUGCUUCUUUGUAUAGACACAAGCAUUGAUCUGUUUACUAUCAGGUUGCUAGCUUUGAGUGGCUUACUGGUGAAAACAGUUCUGUGCUAGCUUGUCUUAACUAUUAAGUCCGUGUAUACCGAUCUGAAGGUCGUAUGCUAGAAACAGUUUAGUCUGAGCCAGCUGUAUUCUAAGAUCCAACUGAAACAUGUUUAUCUUUCCAACAUAGUAUUCUUUCUUUGAAGGAUUUUUUUUAUUUGUAACGGUAUUUAGUCAACUUGAAGCUCAAGUGUUACCCACCAUCAGAAUGUAAUCAUAGCAUAGUAACUUAGUGGUGUGGCAUUUAGGGUGGAGCUUCUUUUAAGCCAACCUGGGCCGUGCCCCCUUCACUGUAGCAUUUUCCUAAAACAAAUGAUUACUACUCCCUCCGUAUGACAAUUAGGAUGAAGUACAAAUCAUUUUUGAACUAAUUAGCUUGUCCUAAAUGUCAUAUGUUUAAAAAUGGAGGGAGUACAAAGUAGAAAACUAAUGAGUUGUUUUCAUGACUGAUGAAUCAAGACACGGAAUAAGGGAGCUGUAGGGUUUUCCUUACGGUAGUUCUACCUUCUGUUCCUCUAGCCAGUGAUUUUUUUUGUUUCACAAGAGAUAGAUUUAUUAAGCAAUGAUUUAUGAAUUUGAUAGUCUGGACUGCGAAAUACUAAGCCAUCAAUUCUGUGGCUUCUGUUCAGAAGGUUCCGUUUAGGGACCGGCACUCAAAUUCAAGAAACUACAGAGGAGGUUAUAAUGGUGACAGGAGUGACUAUAGUGAUAAGGAAGGAAGCUGGAUAAACUCAAAACAACGAAAUCCAAAUCGCAGCUAUGGACGUAGCCAGUCGGAGAGGUCUGGCAUGAGGUCUGAUAGACAGGCCAAUGAUGAGAGUCAGUCUGAUAGGCAACGACGAACUUUUAGAAAUGACUCAUACAGGCAUGAGGCAAGCUCUCAAUAUCUUGUGCAGGGGCAAUCUUUUGGAUCCGCAAGCUCUAUGCGCAAACCAGGGAACAUUGCGCAUGGGGUUUAUACACCACAAUCUCCAGCUUCAAAUGGUGCUGGUGCUUUAUCUGGCCCUCCAGGACCACCAUUUUUUAUAGUGUACUCAUAUGAACCUGGGGCAAAUCAUGGUCCAUCCACAUCUGAACCAAUUGAAUUUGGUUCUCUUGGGCCACUUCCCGCAGCAGAUGGUGAUGACAUACCACGGUCCACGCGCCAAGUAAUGCCUAAUGGGUUUUAUGGGCAAAGGCGUGGUCCAUAUAGGGGUGGUUCCUCUCAUUCCUCUCCUGAUCAACCAUCCUCACCUCAGCCUCGGAGGUA